rnacentral:rRNA from 1 species
CCUACGGGUAGCAGCAGUGGGGAAUAUUGCACAAUGGGGGAAACCCUGAUGCAGCGACGCCGCGUGAGUGAAGAAGUAAUUCGUUAUGUAAAGCUCUAUCAGCAGGGAGGAAAAUGACGGUACCUGAGUAAGAAGCCCCGGCUAACUACGUGCCAGCAGCCGCGGUAAUACGUAGGGGGCAAGCGUUAUCCGGAUUUACUGGGUGUUAAGGGAGCGUAGACGGCAGUGCAAGUCUGGAGUGAAGUGCGUGGGGUCAACCCCCGGACUGCUCUGGAAACUGGACGGCUGGAGUGCAGGAGAGGUAAGUGGAAUGCGUAGUGUAGCGGUGAAAUGCGUAGAUAUUAGGAGGAACACCAGUGGCGAAGGCGGCGUACUGGACUGUAACUGACGUUGAGGCUCGAAAGCGGGGGGAGCAAACAGGAUUAGAUACCCGAGUAGUC